GUCGAGCGGUACAUUUCUAGCUUGCUAGAAGAUGACGAGCGGCGGACGGGUGAGUAAUACUUGGGGAUCUGCCUGAUGGAGGGGGACAACCACUGGAAACGGUGGCUAAUACCGCAUGACGCCUACGGGCCAAAGUGUGGGACCUUCGGGCCACACGCCAUCAGAUGAACCCAAGCGAGAUUAGCUAGUUGGUGAGGUAACGGCUCACCAAGGCGACGAUCUCUAGCUGGUCUGAGAGGAUGAUCAGCCACACUGGGACUGAGACACGGCCCAGACUCCUACGGGAGGCAGCAGUGGGGAAUAUUGGACAAUGGGCGCAAGCCUGAUCCAGCCAUGCCGCGUGUGUGAAGAAGGCCUUAGGGUUGUAAAGCACUUUCAGUGGUGAGGAAGGCGUUGUAGUUAAUAGCUGCAACGAUUGACGUUAGCCACAGAAGAAGCACCGGCUAACUCCGUGCCAGCAGCCGCGGUAAUACGGAGGGUGCGAGCGUUAAUCGGAAUUACUGGGCGUAAAGCGCACGUAGGCGGCUUGUUAAGCAAGAUGUGAAAGCCCAGGGCUCAACCUUGGAAUUGCAUUUUGAAC
rnacentral:rRNA from 1 species